rnacentral:rRNA from 1 species
UAGUCCACGCCGUAAACGAUGGUUACUAGGUGUUUGGUGGAUUAACCCACUGAGUACCAAAGCUCACGCAUUAAGUAACCCGCCUGGGGAGUACGGUCGCAAGGCUAAAACUCAAAGGAAUUGACGGGGGCCCGCACAAGCGGUGGAGUAUGUGGUUUAAUUCGAAGCAACGCGAAGAACCUUACCUGGCCUUGACAUCCCGUGACAACUACAGAGAUGUAGCUUUCCCUUCGGGGACGCGGUGACAGGUGCUGCAUGGUUGUCGUCAGCUCGUGCCGUGAGGUGUCAGGUUAAGUCCUAUAACGAGCGCAACCCCUACCGUUAGUUGCCAGCAUGUUAUGAUGGGGACUCUAGCGGGACUGCCGGUGCAAACCGAGAGGAAGGUGGGGAUGACGUCAAAUCAUCACGGCCCUUACGUCCUGGGGCUACACACGUGCUACAAUGGUAACGACAGAGGGGCAGCCACCCCGCGAGGGGGAGCGGAAUCCUAAACGUUAUCUCAGUUCGGGAUCGGGAGUCUGCAACUCGACUCCGU